CAGUGGGGAAUAUUGCACAAUGGGCGAAAGCCUGAUGCAGCAACGCCGCGUGAGCGAUGAAGGCCUUCGGGUCGUAAAGCUCUGUCCUCAAGGAAGAUAAUGACGGUACUUGAGGAGGAAGCCCCGGCUAACUACGUG
rnacentral:rRNA from 1 species